rnacentral:lncRNA from 10 species
GACUAUAAAAAUAGAGCGAGGACUAUUGAUUGGUUACUAAGAAUAUUUUACAAACUUUUAUGGUUUGACACACCCUUUUAAUGGUGGUAUGUCUACCUAAUAUAUCUGCACCUUCCCAAAAUCCCCUCCCCUCGAUGUCAGCAUCAGGACUCCCCUCCUCCUCUAGCUAGAUUUGAGAGACACUUGCCAUUAUCUCAUCAUUAUUUUAUCAUGUUAAUGUACUUGUGUAACCUUUUAUAUUUUCUAAAUAUGAAAAAUAUUUUACAGAGAUUACAUUUGACGCAGCUGCUUCCUGAAGACCUAGAGAUCACUUUAAUCUUACAAGCACAUUCUUCAGAUUGUCGUGUGGGUGGGUAACUUCCGCCAGACUUUUCUGGAGAUGGCUAAUCCAGCCGUGGGAUGUGGUUUCUUCUAACAGCCAGUCAGGAAAAUCUUGCUUCUCAAACUCCUGUCUUGACCCCUUCCUGAACUUUGCCUCCUGGAUCUUGAGGUCUGCCUUCUGUGGAAGAGAAAUACUAGAAUCAAUGAACUGUGAACUAGAGCCCUGGGAUUAUCAACAGCUGAAAUUUUGAGAGCCACCUUAUAGAAAGCCUAACAGCAAAGACUGGAGAGAGGCUUCCAGCCAACAGCCAGCAAGGAAUUGAAGCCCUCAGUCCAAUAGCAGUGAGGAAUUGAAUCCUGCCAACAGCCUCGUGGAUGGGUUGCUUGCUGCCUGAAUCUAACUCCUGCUACUACUGCAAAUACCACUGCCAUGAAUAUCCUCAGCAAGACCCCCUUCCAGACCUGCAUGAACAACCGACUGCUUCAUGCUGGGCUUCAGACAUGAGAGGCUAGGAGUAGGAGGCAUGCCUUGUUCAAAGAUACCCAGUUCUCCCAGGACCAUUUGUUGAAAAGGCAGGCACCUCAUUUUACAGAAGAGGAAACUGAGGCCCAGAAAGAGAAGUGGCAUGCCCAAGGCUGUGCCAGAAGCAAAGUGUAAAAUAGAUCCUGAGCCUCCGACUCCUGGUCUUAAAUGUGGGAAAUAGUCUACAGUUUGGAAGACACCAGAGAAAAAUGCUCCACAGCUCGCCCUGGUGACUCACUACAACUUAUGGGAAGAUGUGAGAUUAUUCUGUAUUCUAAUGUAUGUUAGAAGGCACACUCCACCCAAAGCCUUCCUGUGUGUUCCUCCCUGUGAGCUCACAUCCCGUUCACCAGCUGACUGGGAAGGGAAGUCAGGACCAGCCCUGACCCCAUCACACCAUCAUAACCUCGGGAUGGCAGGGCUGGAAGGCACCUCAGACGUCAUCCUUUGCAGACUCUUCAUUUUACAGUGAGAGGCAUGACGUGUCCACAGCUGGUUAGUGCCAAAGCCUGGGACAGGCUUCACAUUGUCCAGCUCUUAGUCAGAGCACUGUUGACAAUGUCUGCCUUCACUUGGAAUUCAGCACCUGCUUUCAGUAUAAACCCCUGCAUUUCACUAAAACUGAGCAGACUGCUGGUUUAAAAAAGAGAGGUCCAUCCAGCAGGGAUGAUGCUUUUCCUCGUUGAAAGAGGACAUUCACCUAAUGGGAGACCUGGAGUCAGAAUCUUUCUGAUGUGUGACUUGGCACAGUAACACAAUGCAGGAUGCUGGUGUGUUAAUAAAAAUAAAAAUUGCAUCGCCUACCUCAGAGUCGACAACAAUGUCAAGGAGUUAAUAGUCUUGGCAACACAGAGGCCACUGGACAGAGGCAUAACCUUGCGUGGCAGCUGCACGGGAAUUGGAUUUGGCUCAGGUGUUUCAGAUGACUAAGAACAAAGGGGACCACUCUUGGUAUAGAAGUUCAUCUCGUCGGGAGCAUCUGUGGUUCUUUUAUAAGCAAUGUACAUUCUACAAUAGAGGCAGACCCAGAAAUAAUUCAGAUAUUGGAGUUAGAAGAUCAGGAUUCUAAAAAAACCAAAAGAUCCUGCCUUACUAUGCACCUAUGGCCCUUCAAAGGCGAGAGUAGAAUCUGCUAUGAUUUAGAAGCAAGCAAUAAAAAGUACACAUCAGCCCCACGGACUGGCAUGAGACUCAGGCCUGGCCAACUGAAUGUCACACACCUAUGACCAUCAGUUGGCUCAGAGAUGGACUCAGGACACCAUCACAGCCAAUGAAACCCUGUUAGGGAAAUUUGUCAGAACCAUACAAAGAAAUAGCUCCACUUUUCCAUAGAGAUGAGACAUAAGCCUGGACUAACUGGUGUCCAAUUUGCCAUCAAGAGAGCAUCUGAGAAGACAGAGGAAAACUGGGGAAAGCGAAGUCUAAGGAAGGUGAGUAAGGACAAGUCCAGUUGAUAUUACAUGAAUCACCUGGACCUGGAAAUCAAGGCAUUGCUGGAUUCAAGGCCAAGAAAAAUUGGAAGCUGGCUUGAAUCAGGUUCUAUCACUUGCAGUUGAAAAGGUCCAGACUAAUAUGAUAACAAAGGAGCAAGUAAGCAAGAUUCUGCCCUACAGUAAGUGCUCAAUGCAUGUCAGCUGGUAUUAUUAUUAUACAGACUUCUAUUUCUAGCCCUUUUAUUUCUACCACCUCUCUUCUGUGUUUUAUGUAAAGUGCAUAAGGAUUGUUCUGUUUGGAAACAUCAAACCAUAUAAAAUGACACCAGCAGGUCCCUUUCUGUCUGUCAGUGUCCACAAGCUCAACAACCAGGAUCAGCAGACAAAAACAGCUAAGCUGGAGUCAGUGUUUUUAUGAAGAAACAGGAAAAGAACUUACUUGGGAACUGUAGCUCAUCCUCCAAUAUUCUCCAUCCUAUCACUCUUUUCAUGACAGUUUCUUCUUGGCCCUGAAGUUGCCUUGUCAUGGCUCCCUGCCUCUGUCCUUUCUCUGUCUCACUUACAUCUUCCAAUGAGGAAUACAGCAAGACCUUUGGAUGAGGACCUCCAAAGGUCCUCAGUAUCCUUAGGACACUCGGUGCAGAACUAGAGGGACUGAGAGGAGGAGCUUUUGCAGGUUAAAUGACUAGUGAAUGGCCUUUCCUUAUAUUUCCAUUAGAAAUGGGAUUAGCUACACCUGAGAAGGAAUGACUUUGGAACAACUGAUCCCUAGCUUUCCAAAAUAUGAGAAAUUGAGAUGCAGGGAGUAGUAAGCACCUAGUUAAUGAGUCAAAGCAUAUUUAUAAAGUUCACAGGGUACAUAGCAUAUAGCAGCUGUUCUCUAUCUCAGUUGAGUUUUGACUAGGAAAUGGGCUUAGGAUAAAACACAUAGGCUUUUGAGUAAUCAUUUGUAAGAAAUUGUAGAUAGUGACCACAGUUUAAUAGCAUUAGAUAAAUUAUGAAAAGUCACUGAAAUACCUUCUCUGGAAAAUGUUAGAAGCUCAAGUACAAUGGCUUAGUUAAAGGCAGGUGGGGGAGAAACUUGAAGAAUGUGGUCCAGUACAAGAAUACCCCAUUUUUCCCCUAAGGCAAUGAAAAUGACAUGAAGUAAUCAUAGUUAUUUAUACAGGAACAAUUUAGGAGACUUAGAAUAUUCACUUCUUUUGCCUUCUAGCUGAGCAUCAAAAUUCUCUCUCUGUCUCUGCCUCUCUCUCUCUAUUUUCCACUUCUAGCUCCAACUAUUUUAAAUCCCUCCCCCAAUAGAACUCAUAACAAACAUAAAACAACAUUUGUUGUAUGUUUACAAUAGAUGUUCAAGCUAAUAUUUAUGUAGGCUUAGCCCUGGCAUUAAAUUAAGGUUUGGUUCACCAACAGGGUGCCUAGAGACUUCACCUCUAUUUCCAUGAGGGACUGAACAGCCUCUUGAGAAGGGACUCAUCAAAAUGGAAGAGUUGGCAAUAAGAAGUUUGGCUAAAUAACCAAGCACUGAAGUUGCAGAGGAGAAAGGAUUUGAAAGGCAGUACAGUGUCCAGGGGCAAGUUGGCAAUUUUUAGCAGGAGGUGAAGUGAUGCCAGCAGAGGUAACAGUGCUCAGAGGGACCAGUAGUCCCCAGGAGGAGCAGGGGAAUCCCCAGUGGAUCUGAUUUGUUCAAGAGCACAUGUGAGAUUAUCAGCUGGCGUUACAAUUUUGGAGUGGCAGUGAGAAGCAGUGAAUUUGAGGUCACUCAAUUUGCAGACCCCAAAGGGUGAAAUGUUGAGAAACAUGAGUUACACAUGUAUUUAACAGCUCUUGUGUAUUAUCACAAAUCCUAUUUCACCUCUCAUGCCCCCGAGGCUUUGGUGUCCAGUUCUCUGAAGACUUCAUCAAUCCUCAGCCAUAAAUCACCUGAGAGCAACUCACCUUGCUUCAUACUAUGAAGCUCCCUGAUGUCACAGCAUGGCAGGCCUGUGGCAACCCCUCAACACUUAUGCAUGAUCCCAAACAGCUAGAGGAUUAACACCUACGGUGUAACCCUUGACCAGCAGGAAAUGGAAAUUACUGUCUUUUUGUCCCCGCAGGUGAAUGGUUCUAAAAUGCAUUUUAUAAGCCUUCUGAAAUAGUCCCACAGGUCAAGCACCUACUUGCUCCAGUGGUGACCAACUCAAUGAUGCAUCCUUGGGUUGACUCUCCCUCCUUUCCAGUUCACUUUCCCCGCCCCUCACUCCUGCACCUCAGCAUCACAUUCCUGAAUAAACCACUCACACAUCUGUCUUAUUUCAGACUCUGUUUGGGGGAAUCCACAAUAAAAAUUUGUCAUUUUGAGUUAAACAUUGCUCUCACCUUGAAGACAUAUUUCCAUACCUAGAGAUUUCUGAAGUUCUCUCCCUUUUCCUAUCAUCUCCUUUGUGCUUUGUCUGACCUCCAUGUUACAGAGCCCCAUGAUAUUUAGAGCCAGUACUGCUAGGGAAGUAGUUCAGUUGUGUUUUAAAUGGUUCAGCAACUUGUAACAUCAACUGAGAACCAGAGGAAUACACUUGGAGGCCAAGAAAAAAAUGUUAGCUAAUAUGUACCAUACAGUAUGAUUCCUUGGGUAAGGGAAAGUAUAUGCAAGUGACAGAGGAAAAUUGAAAGUUGUAGCCCUUUUUUGGACUUUAGAUUUGGAAUUAAAGUUUCUCUUCUCUUGAAAGACCUUCUUUUUGUGGAUAAUGAUGAAUCUGAAGACCAGAACAGUGGGCCAAUUUGCCUUAGUUGAGAGUGGCAAAUAAAUGAAGAACUGAAGAACGUAUCUCUUUAACUAGUGCUCCUUUGUUGAGAAGAUACAAAACAAACAAUUGAAGGGUAUGGAUGAAGCCAUUGGCUUAUUCAUGUCUCUGUUGAUCAUAAUGAGAUUAAUAUAUAUAGGACAUUCACACAAAGAGGAUAUUGACUCGAUGGCUUACAGAUUAUUAGAGUUAGAAAUGUGACCUACUACUAAAGGAAGAAUGUUUCAGGUGUGGAUCUCUGAUUUAAAAAAUACACCACACUUGCCUCAGUGAAGCAAGUCAACUUAGGUGCUGAUACAAUGCCACUGCAGCUGUGCUGAGUUCAUGAAAUCAGAUCCCACUCUCUUCACCUACCCCUACCGUAUUCAUCCUACUUUCCGUCUGCUCUGCCCUUCCCAUUUGGUAACCUAGUCAUGAAACACCUGGCUCUGGGUCCUUCCUUCAGCAUCACUCCACGUUGUACUGCUGGCAUCGCUUUUCUUGGCACAGAACCUCUUAGGGCUGCUAUCCUAGGAGUAGGUGCUACUCAGGCUGGCUUAGUCCCAGGCUUCACUCACUUCUUGGCCCAUGGCCAGGAGGACCGGAAAGAACAAACUCUCUGCACAUCUCUGCAGGUGGCCACAGAGCCCCCAUCUGAGCCUUGCUGAUGGAGAAGAGCAUGCUGCAUCACAAGAUAACUGUGUGGCUCUGUUCAAAAACCUUGUUUAGAAGUUAUUAUUUCUUUUAUUGCAUUAGAAUUUGCCUCACUGUAGCUUUUGUGCUUCUGUCCUGGUUCAGCCUUAGAUAGCAGUGCAGCCUGGUCCAUGUGAAAGCUCUUGCAAUAGGCCUUUCUGCUAGUCAGGAGUUCUCAGACCCAUCCCUACUCUUCACUUUUCUCAAGACUAAUAUCAGACUCCUGGGCUCUUCAAGGUUUCCUCAUAUGAUAAAAGUUCUAAGCCCUCCAUUGUCCUAGUCACUGUCCUCUCUGUUCCAUCCCUGUCUGCCCUUCCAAGAUGCUGCACCUGGAGAUGAAUUUGUCCUUCCUGGGGCAAGUCACCAUGAGAUGAUUACUUUUGGAUCAUACUGAAUUUGUGGGUUAAAUAAACUCAUAGGUCUUUAUCUCAUGCACUAAAUCCAAAUUCGAUCUCUUGCCGUAAAUCAUUUUUUUGAAUAGCUGAACAAUAAGUAAAUAAUACACAAAUGAAAACUAAUCAAUAUUUGAACAUCCUCAGUAUUUUCAGCCCUAGUUUGAGCCAGACAUAGCUCAUCUUGUAUACUUCACUAAGGACACUUUAUACGAUCAAGCAAUUAAUAUUAUGAUGUCAUGUCUCGCAAGCCCCAUAGUGUCACUUCCAGUCUCUUCACCACAAAGAACGUUGAAGCCUUCGUAUUUUUUUGAAAAUCAUAUUUCUAGCUGCAGGAUGGGAUGUAAGAAAAGUUCAGAUUAGGAUUAUUCUAGGCUCCUGACUAUAACUAAAAUCCUGAUUUUUUAUGGAAAGGAAUGAGGAUCAUUCCUUCAAAUUAGAUUUUUGUGAUAAAAAGAAAAAAGUUGGUAAUCUAUUCAAAAUUGUAACAAAAAUAACUGCAUUUUUCUUUGGAAAAUAAUAGUUGAUUCCUUUUUGCUUUUUUUACUUAUGAAUUGGGGUGCAAUAGAGUUUAAUAAAAAUGAUGUGAAACACUCUUAUAAGGCUAAUUUAUCACAUUUGCUUCAAGGAAUUGUCCUUUCUAACAAAAUUGUGAAAUGGAACUGAACAGUAGCAUGAUGAGGCCUCUACCAGGAGGAGGUACAGAACAAGGCAGGAGGUCAGUGGUUAAAGGACUCCUUGCUUAUGCUCAAGAAAUGUGGACCUUAUUAGAGGUGACACAGUGAAAUCAGUCACCUGAUUUCGCAGGUGACUGUGGAGCAAGAAUGCAAAUCCACAAUAUUAGGAUGAAUGUGAGAGGAGAAGGGAAGGAGGCCAUGAGGGAAAAAAGGACAUCUAAUUGGGUCUGAAAGGAAGGGUAGAAUUUAAGUAAAGAGCACUGUGUACAUAUGGGAAUACCAUGUACUUUCUCAUGGAGAGAGGCCUUCUGACAGUCCUGCAUUGAUCCUGCUUCUUUGACCAUCCCUUGUUAGCCAGCAGGUCAUUUGGCCUCACUAGUUGCCUCAGUGCUGAGUGAUAGACUCAGCAGUCCCCAGCCUCUUUGGCACCAGGGACUGGUUUUGUGGAAGAUAAUUUUUCCAUGGAUCAGGGAGAGGAUGGUUUCAGGAGGAUUUAAGUGCAUUACAUUUACUGCGCACUUUAUUUCUAAUAUUAUUACAUUGUAAUCUAUAAUGAAAUAAUUAUACAAUUCACCAUAAUGUAGAAUCAGUGGGUGCCCUGAGCUUGUUUUCCUGCAACUAGAUGGUCCCAUCUGGGGGUGAUGGGAGACAGUGACAGAUCAUCAGGCAUUAGAUUCUCAUAAGGAAUGCACAACCUAGAUUCUUCACAUGUGCAGUUCACCAUGAGGUUCACGCUCCUAUGAGAAGCUAAUGCCUCCGCUUAAACGACACAGGAGAUGGAGCUCAGGUAGUAAUGAGUGAAAUGGGGAGCAGCUGUCAAUACAGAUGAAGCUUUGCUUGCUUGCUUGCCGCUCACCACCUGCUGUGCAGCCUGGUUCCUAACUGGUACUGGUCAGUGGCCUGUGGUUGGGAACUCCUGGUAGACUAACAACAGAACAAAGCCAAGUCUCAAGGAGAGACAGUUGUAUAGAUGCCUUCCUGCCCAUUCUCUGUUGUGGGGGCCAAAUCACACAAGACCUGCAUUUAAUUCUUUAUGGGCUUAGGCUGUGAAUUAAUGUAAAAUCUCAAGAAACCAAGAUGACAGGCCAGGGACUAAAGAGCAAAAGAAAGACCACAGCUAUGGUGGGCGAGGAGACAAAGUCAAUCCCACCGGGACAGAUGGUGAUGACCCUUAUCAGUUCUAUUCUGUCAUCUCAUAAAGGUAAAGACUUGUGUUCUUUUUCUUAGGACAGUCCAGAUGGUAUUGGCUGUGCUUAAAGAAAAUUCAGACAUGUGUGAGUGUGGCUGGAAUUGACAUUCAUGAGGUCUUCCGUUUUUAUUUGAAAGGGGCAGAGUAAGUAUUUGUGAACAUUGGAUGGUGAUGAAGAAAAGGAAAUGGUGUCUAGUAUCCUACCUGGCCUCAUGGACCAAGACUAGAAGGAUUAGAGGCAAAGUCGAAGGAAGCUGCCACCAUAAAGGGUUCUGUGAAUGCUGUUUGGCUGAAAUGUGUGACAAAGCACUGGGAAGGGUUUCAUUGCAUUAGCUCAGGCCAUAGCACGACCCUUAACCAACACCUUAAGGUGAUGGUCCCCUUGGCAUAAAUAUUGGUGUUAAAAUCGAGGUUAACCUUAGUGAUAGUAUGGUUAAGAGUCCCCUGCAUGACUUUGGAAGUUGAAGAUGCUGAUCAGGAGAACUAGAGCAGGAAAGAGAAAAUAUGACUGAGGCUAAGUGGUGACUUGGUAUUGACUGAUAGGUGAACACAGGAAUGAAUUUCAGCGAGAACCCCCAGUAACUGUCUGGGGAGUGGAGACUGUGUAUGAACAGGACAGAAAAAAAAGCAGAUUCGGGUAGUGUCCUGUCGUGUGUCUCUUUUACAGUCCUGAAAUGAAGGACUUUCAGUGUUUUCAUUGAGCACCAAUCAAUUCCCUCUUUACAAAAGACCAUAUUGGAACAGCAUCAAGGUUUAGGGAUAUUAAAGCAAUACAGUGACACUGGAAUGACCACUGAGAACCAGCGAACUUCUUCAGCCCUUAUAUCCUCAGGCACUCUGGAAGCCAUGAAUCUGGUUUUCUUGCUAAACUGUGUGUACUGCACAGAGUACAAUGGUAAAGGAACAAAUAUUGGCUCUAAAAUCUCUUGUAAAGGGAAGGGUGGUCAUCCCUUUAGAUGGCAAAUUGAGUUUCUGUAAUGGGGUUUGCUCUGAUGUUGCAUUUCCACUCAGGCAUCAAGACAUUCUGUUGUUUAAAGCCCUAGAUGGGUGAUAUUUCUUUCAUGUGCAAGGCCCGAAUGCUUCACUGAGCUCUCUCUUACCCACACACACUCAUUUAAACCUUGGUCAAAAUUAUCCUUUAGCAUCUGCAUCUUCUCAGAAGGCGGAAGGGUCAAUGGGGAUAAUCAGGAGAGAUGAGGUGCACUUUCAGAAGUUGGAGCUGAGAAGGUGAUGGAAGUAUCUGUAAAGUCGUUGAACAGCUGCACGAACUAUAGGGGAAGCAUUUCUGGAGGCAAAAGGGGAAUAGCCCUUUCCUCUUAAACCAAAGCGAGCACAGCUCCAAAGGCACUUAGAUGGAGAGUUCAUCGGAAUGUGAGCUCUAAGAGUGGCUGAGAAUCUGACAAAAACAGCCAUCUGCCAACCCAAAAUUAAAACUCCUCUGUUUAGCACCCAGUAGAGAAAGUCAACCAGAUUGACUUCGCAAACAAAGGACCUUAAAAGCAUCACCUAAGAAAGUGUGUCAGGAUCCACAGACAUCCAGAGCAUUCUCUAUGGUUCAUUACUUACAUUAUUCUUAUCUAUUUACACAUAAUGUUUAGAUGUAAAAUCCUUACAAUGAAAAGGGUGUAUAUGCUUUAAAAAAGGCACAACAGGGAUCUAGAACUAGAAAUACCAUUUGACCCAGCCAUCCCAUUACUGGGUAUAUACCCAAAUGAGUAUAAAUCAUGCUGCUAUAAAG